AGCGAACGCUGGCGGCAGGCCUAACACAUGCAAGUCGAACGAACCCUUCGGGGUUAGUGGCGGACGGGUGAGUAACACGUGGGAACGUGCCUUUAGGUUCGGAAUAACUCAGGGAAACUUGUGCUAAUACCGAAUGUGCCCUUUGGGGGAAAGAUUUAUCGCCUUUAGAGCGGCCCGCGUCUGAUUAGCUAGUUGGUUGAGGUAAUGGCUCACCAAGGCGACGAUCAGUAGCUGGUCUGAGAGGAUGAUCAGCCACAUUGGGACUGAGACACGGCCCAAACUCCUACGGGAGGCAGCAGUGGGGAAUCUUGCGCAAUGGGCGAAAGCCUGACGCAGCCAUGCCGCGUGAAUGAUGAAGGUCUUAGGAUUGUAAAAUUCUUUCACCGGGGACGAUAAUGACGGUACCCGGAGAAGAAGCCCCGGCUAACUUCGUG
rnacentral:rRNA from 1 species